UGGGGAAUCUUGGACAAUGGGCGAAAGCCUGAUCCAGCCAUGCCGCGUGAGUGACGAAGGUCUUCGGAUUGUAAAGCUCUUUUUGGCGGGGACGAUAAUGACGGUACCCGCAGAAUAAGCCCCGGCUAACUUCGUGCCAGCAGCCGCGGUAAUACGAAGGGGGCUAGCGUUGUUCGGAAUUACUGGGCGUAAAGCGCACAUAGGCGGAUUUGUAAGUCAGGGGUGAAAUCCCGGGGCUCAACCUCGGAACUGCCCUUGAUACUGCAAAUCUCGAGUCCGAUAGAGGUGAGUGGAAUUCCUAGUGUAGAGGUGAAAUUCGUAGAUAUUAGGAAGAACACCAGUGGCGAAGGCGGCUCACUGGAUCGGUACUGACGCUGAGGUGCGAAAGCGUGGGGAGCAAACAGGAUUAGAUACCCCUGUAGUCCCUGAGCGGGCUGGCAAGGCGCAU
rnacentral:rRNA from 1 species